UACGUAGGUGGCAAGCGUUGUCCGGAUUUAUUGGGUUUAAAGGGUGCGUAGGCGGCUUGUCGCGUCAACUGUGAAAACCCGUGGCUCAACCAUGUGGUCUGCAGUCGAUACGGGCAGGCUAGAAUUCGGUAGGGGAGACUGGAAUUCCUGGUGUAGCGGUGAAAUGCGCAGAUAUCAGGAGGAACACCGGUGGCGAAGGCGGGUCUCUGGGCCGAUAUUGACGCUGAGGAGCGAAAGCGUGGGGAGCGAACAGG
rnacentral:rRNA from 1 species